rnacentral:rRNA from 1 species
GAGUUUGAUCAUGGCUCAGAACGUACGCUGGCGGCACGCCUAACACAUGCAAGUCGAACGGAGUAGCAAUACUUAGUGGCAGACGGGUGAGUAACAUGUGGGUAUCUACCCUGUGGCCUGGAAUAACACGAGGAAACUUGUGCUAAUACCAGAUAAGUCUUUACGGAGAAAGCUUUAUGCACCAUUGGAUGAGCCCGCACUUGAUUAGUUAGUUGGUAGGGUAAUGGCCUACCAAGACUUUGAUCAAUAGCUGAUUUGAGAGGAUGAUCAGC